UGGGGAACCUGCCCCAUAGUCCGGGAUACCACUUGGAAACAGGUGCUAAUACCGGAUAAGAAAGCAGAUCGCAUGAUCAGCUUUUAAAAGGCGGCGUAAGCUGUCGCUAUGGGAUGGCCCCGCGGUGCAUUAGCUAGUUGGUAAGGUAAAGGCUUACCAAGGCGAUGAUGCAUAGCCGAGUUGAGAGACUGAUCGGCCACAUUGGGACUGAGACACGGCCCAAACUCCUACGGGAGGCAGCAGAG
rnacentral:rRNA from 1 species